rnacentral:rRNA from 1 species
GACGAACGUUGGCGGCGUGCCUAAUACAUGCAAGUCAACUGAAACACCGGUAGCAAUACUGGUGUGGAGGUGGCGCACGGGUGAGUAACACGUAGGUAAUCUGCCUUCAGGUCUGGCAUAACCCCGGGAACCGGGGACGUAAUAGCAGAUGAUGCAGCGGCUUGACAUCAAGACAGUUGUUAAAGACUAACCGAGCAAUCGGUGGCGCCUGAAGAUGAGCCUGCGUCUGAUUAGCUAGUUGGCGGAGUAACAGCCCACCAAGGCUUCGAUCAGUAGCUGGUCUGAGAGGAUGAUCAGCCACACUGGAACUGAGACACGGUCCAGACUCCUACGGGAGGCAGC